AAGUUAUAAUGAGGAUACCUCCUCAUUAAAUCAUUGAAUAUGUUCCAUGCUUCACACAUAGAUUCACCCUCUGAUUGAAUGAAAUUGGUGAUAUCAGUCAUAAUCU